UCAGUUCAGACUGCAGGCUGCAACUCGCCUGCACGAAGUCGGAAUUGCUAGUAAUCGUAGGUCAGCAUACUACGGUGAAUACGGUUCCCGGGCCUUGUACACACCGCCCGUCAAACCAUGAGAGUUGGCAACACCCGAAGUCGGUAGUCUAACCGCAAGGAGGACGCCGCCGAAGGUGGGGUUGAUGAUUAGGGUUAAGUCGUAACAAGGUACC
rnacentral:rRNA from 1 species